CUACGGGAUGCAGCAGUGAGGAAUAUUGCACAAUGGGGGGAACCCUGAUGCAGCAACGCCGCGUGGAGGAUGACGCAUUUCGGUGUGUAAACUCCUUUUAUAUGUCAAGAAAAUGACGGUAGCUCAUGAAUAAGCACCGGCUAACUCCGUGCCAGCAGCCGCGGUAAUACGGAGGGUGCAAGCGUUACUCGGAAUCACUGGGCGUAAAGGACGCGUAGGCGGGUUGUCAAGUCAGGUGUGAAAUCCUACAGCUUAACUGUAGAACUGCACUUGAAACUGGCAACCUAGAGUAUGGGAGGGGGAGAUGGAAUUAGUGGUGUAGGGGUAAAAUCCGUAGAUAUCACUAGGAAUACCGAAAGCGAAGGCGAUCUCCUGGAACAUUACUGACGCUAAGGCGUGAAAGCGUGGGGAGCAAACAGGAUUAGAUACCCUCGUAGUC
rnacentral:rRNA from 1 species